rnacentral:rRNA from 1 species
CAGUCGAACGAUGAAGCCCAGCUUGCUGGGUGGAUUAGUGGCGAACGGGUGAGUAACACGUGAGUAACCUGCCCUCGACUCCAGGAUAAGCCCGGGAAACUGGGUCUAAUACUGGAUAUUCAAUUUCCAUCGCAUGGUGGUUUUUGGAAAGGAUUCUGGUCGAGGAGGGACUCGCGGCCUAUCAGCUUGUUGGUGAGGUAAUGGCUCACCAAGGCGACGACGGGUAGCCGGCCUGAGAGGGUGACCGGCCACACUGGGACUGAGACACGGCCCAGACUCCUACGGGAGGCAGCAGUGGGGAAUAUUGCACAAUGGGCGAAAGCCUGAUGCAGCGACGCCGCGUGAGGGAUGACGGCCUUCGGGUUGUAAACCUCUUUCAGUAGGGAAGAAGCGAAAGUGACGGUACCUGCAGAAGAAGCGCCGGCUAACUACGUGCCAGCAGCCGCGGUAAUACGUAGGGCGCAAGCGUUAUCCGGAAUUAUUGGGCGUAAAGAGCUCGUAGGCGGUUUGUCGCGUCUGCCGUGAAAGUCCGGGGCUUAACUCCGGAUCUGCGGUGGGUACGGGCAGACUAGAGUGCUGUAGGGGAGACUGGAAUUCCUGGUGUAGCGGUGAAAUGCGCAGAUAUCAGGAGGAACACCGAUGGCGAAGGCAGGUCUCUGGGCAGUAACUGACGCUGAGGAGCGAAAGCAUGGGGAGCGAACAGGAUUAGAUACCCUGGUAGUCCAUGCCGUAAACGUUGGGCACUAGAUGUGGGGGACAUUCCACGUUCUCCGCGUCGUAGCUAACGCAUUAAGUGCC